AGCUCUGGUGGCCUAGUGGUUUGAGUGUCUGCCACGGAUGCAGGAGGUCGUGGGUUCUAUCCCUGGCCAAGUCA